UACGUAGGGUGCAAGCGUUAAUCGGAAUUACUGGGCGUAAAGCGCGCGUAGGCGGACCUGCAAGUCGGGGGUGAAAGCCCGAGGCUCAACCUCGGAACUGCCUUCGAUACUGCGGGUCUCGAGUCCGGGAGAGGUGAGUGGAAUUCCUAGUGUAGAGGUGAAAUCCGUAGAUAUUAGGAAGAACACCAGUGGCGAAGGCGGCUCACUGGCCCGGUACUGACGCUGAGGCGCGAAAGCGUGGGGAGCAAACAGG
rnacentral:rRNA from 1 species